rnacentral:misc_RNA from 1 species
GAUGAAGAACGCAGCGAAAUGCGAUAAGUAAUGUGAAUUGCAGAAUUCAGUGAAUCAUCGAGUCUUUGAACGCACAUUGCGCCCCCUGGUAUUCCGGGGGGCAUGCCUGUCCGAGCGUCAUUGCCGCCCUCAAGCACGGCUUGUGUGUUGGGCCCCGUCCUCCGAUCCCGGGGGACGGGCCCGAAAGGCAGCGGCGGCACCGCGUCCGGUCCUCGAGCGUAUGGGGCUUUGUCACCCGCUCUGUAGGCCCGGCCGGCGCUUGCCGAUCAACCCAAAUUUUUAUCCAGGUUGACCUCGGAUCAGGUAGGGAUACCCGCUGAACUUAAGCAUAUCAAUAAGCGGAGGA